rnacentral:rRNA from 1 species
UACGUAGGGGGCAAGCGUUGUUCGGAAUCACUGGGCUUAAAGGGCGCGUAGGCGGGCUGCCAAGUUUGGGGUGAAAUCCUCCGGCUCAACCGGAGCAGUGCCUCGAAUACUGGCGGUCUCGAGGGAGGUAGGGGCGUGCGGAACUGUGGGUGGAGCGGUGAAAUGCGUUGAUAUCCACAGGAACUCCGGUGGCGAAGGCGGCACGCUGGACCUUUUCUGACGCUGAGGCGCGAAAGCCAGGGGAGCGAACGGG